rnacentral:tRNA from 1 species
GGGAUUGUGGCUCAGUGGUAGAACACUUGCCUAGCAUGCAUGAGGCACUGGGUUCGAUUCCUAGCACCA